UUAAGCUUGAACUUACUCACCCAAAAAGGUUGAGAACCUCGGCUAUUUGAUCUGCUAGGUCGUCAACAGAAAGAACUGGAUAAUCUGGAACAAUCUCAGGAGCUCCCAACUGCAACAACUCUUGAACAAAUCCUGUGAAAGAAGUUCAAAUGGC